GAUGAACGCUGGCGGCGGGCUUAACACAUGCAAGUCGAGCGAGCGGAGGACGGGUGAGUAAUGUCUGGGAAACUGCCUGAUGGAGGGGGAUAACUACUGGAAACGGUAGCUAAUACCGCAUACCAUCAGAUGUGCCCAGAUGGGAUUAGCUACUAGGUGGGGUAAUGGCUCCCCUAGGCGACGAUACCUAGCUGGUCUGAGAGGAUGACAAGCAACACUGGAACGGAGACACGGUGCAGACUGCUACGGGAGGCAGCAGAGGGGAAUAUUGCACAAUGGGCGCAAGCCUGAUGCAGCCAUGCCGCGUGUGUGAAGAAGGCCGUCGGGUUGUAAAGCACUUUCAGCGAGGAGGCGUUACUCGCAGAAGAAGCACCGGCUAACUCCGUGCCAGCAGCCGCGGUAAUAC
rnacentral:rRNA from 1 species